GCGCUCGCUUUGUCAGCACAUAUACUACAAUUGGAACAAUACACAGAAGAUUAGCAUGGCCCUUGCGCAAGGAGACACGCAGAUAUAUAAAGCAUUCCAUAUUUUU
rnacentral:snRNA from 1 species